rnacentral:rRNA from 1 species
GGGUGGGUUUUGUGGUCGUGCCAAUGGUAUGUACUGCAGGCCCGUCCUUUCCUUUUGGGGAACGUGCGUGCUCUUCACUGAGUGUGUACGGGAUCCAAGACUUUUACUUUGAAAAAAUUAGAGUGUUUAAAGCAGGCAAGCGCUUGAAUACAUUAGCAUGGAAUAAUGAAAUAGGACGUU